AUUGAACGCUGGCGGCAUGCCUUACACAUGCAAGUCGAACGGCAGCACGGGGGCAACCCUGGUGGCGAGUGGCGAACGGGUGAGUAACAUAUCGGAACGUGCCCUGGAGUGGGGGAUAACUAGUCGAAAGACUAGCUAAUACCGCAUACGAUCUACGGAUGAAAGUGGGGGAUCGCAAGACCUCAUGCUCGUGGAGCGGCCGAUAUCUGAUUAGCUAGUUGGGGGGUAAAGGCCUACCAAGGCAUCGAUCAGUAGCUGGUCUGAGAGGACGACCAGCCACACUGGGACUGAGACACGGCCCAGACUCCUACGGGAGGCAGCAGUGGGGAAUUUUGGACAAUGGGCGCAAGCCUGACGACGCAACGCCGCGUGGAGGACGAAGAUCUU
rnacentral:rRNA from 1 species